GAGGGUAUAGCUUAGCAGCUGAGCACAUGCUUAGCAUGCAUAAGGUCUUGGGUUCAAUCCCCAGUACCUCCA
rnacentral:tRNA from 1 species